GACGAACCGAGCGAACGUUGUUCGGAAUCACUGGGCUUAAAGGGCGCGUAGGCGGGCUGUCAAGUCUGGGGUGAAAUCCCACGGCUCAACCGUGGAACUGCCUUAGAUACUGACGGCCUCGAGGGAGAUAGGGGCGAGCGGAACUGUGAGUGGAGCGGUGAAAUGCGUUGAUAUUCACAGGAACUCCGGUGGCGAAGGCGGCUCGCUGGGACGGUACUGACGCUGAGACGCGAAAGCGUGGGGAGCGAACAGGG
rnacentral:rRNA from 1 species